rnacentral:rRNA from 1 species
UGUUUUAAUUCUAUUCAGAGGAACUUGUCCCGUUAUCGAUAGUCCUCGUUUUAUCUUUCUUGAUUUUGUUUUGUUCAGUAUGUAUACCGCCGUUAUAGGCUUAUUUUUUUAGAAUUUAAUUUGCUAGUAUUUUUAUUAAGAUUUAUUUCAGGUCAAGGUGCAGCCUAUAUUCAAGUGGAGGUGAGUUACAAUAUUUUUGAAUAAAUGGAUUAUUUUUUUAAAUUUUUUAUGAAGGUGGAUUUGAUAGUAAUUUUAUUUACAAUGUUAUUUUGAUUUUGGCCCUAAAACAAGUACACAUCGCCCGU